rnacentral:misc_RNA from 1 species
CCAUAUUUCACACAAACUCUGAAAGACAACACCGCUAAUAGUCUUGUUACAUGAAAUACUUAUAUGAGAACUAAGUAGGUAAAAACCAUCUUUGAUGUUUGUUGUUUCCUGGACACACCCUAGACCAGAGAAACAUGCUCUCCGUUUUAUCUUCAGCGGGCUUCAUACUGAACAAUUAUGCGAGUGCGCUUCUUGUACAGGAUGCGGUACCCGCACUCCCUGCACUGGAUCACAUCCCCGGGCUUCAGCGUGUUCUCCGCCCCGCAAUCUCCGCAGAUGUAGGUCACCGGCUCCGGCUGCGCAUCCAUGGCGAAUCAAGAAACAAAUCUAGGGUUUACUUCAGUUUCGACUGCGGCGGUGAGGGAGUGGGGAGCAGCUAGAGACACCGAGGGACGAAUGCCGGUAGGGGCCUUUUAUCGGGCGACGACUGGGAAAGUUGGAACGAGUGUUUGACCGGUAUUUUCUAAAGGAUUCGUGUUGGAGGAAAG